rnacentral:lncRNA from 1 species
UCGGUUGUUCCAAAGAGUUCUUCAGUUUCUCUCUCUUUCUCUCACUAAGUUCUUCAUCAACUUUGCCAUCAAUCCUUACGUUUUUAUGGUAUCAGAGCGGGAUGAUCCUCGGAUUCAUCUCCGUUACUUGUUAUCGAUUGCGUUGGAAGUUUUGUUGAAGGUUUUUCUCGGAUAUUUGUGAGAGAUUUUGUUUACCGAGAGAACGAUGUGUACUGAANNNN